AACUGAAUUGUUCCGCCUGUCUAGGCUCUGGGCAGAGUCUCUAAAAGCAUGGAUCCCAGCAGAGGCAGACGAAGGGACAAACUGCAGAAGUUGAUCGGCUUAAACUAAUCCACUUCUUGACUUUCCAUUGGACCAGAUAUUUGAAGUGAGUCAUCAAGUGUGUUUAGGAACACUGGUAUAUAUCAGGAACUAUCUCACAGUGAAGCCAACAUGAACUAAAGGCAGUCAGCAAUUGCCAGGAGGCACUCAACACCUUACCAGACAGAACAGACACCAUAAAAGAAAGAUGGUAUUUAUACAUGUUGGUGGGCUCCCCUGAACCUUCUCUUCUCCAGGCUGAACAGUCCCAGCUCUCAGCCUCUCCUCAUGUGGAGGAUGCUCCAGAACCUUCAUCAUCUCUGUGAACCUGUGCCAGACUCACUCCAGUAAGUCCAUGGCUCUCGUGCACUGGGGAGCCCAGAACUGCACACAGCACCGCAGAUGUGGCCUUGCCUGCACCAAGUAGAAGGGAAGGAUCACCGCCCUCCACCUACCAGCAACGCUCUUCCUAAUGCGGCCCAGGAUGCUGUUGUUGGCCGCCUUUGCCACAAGAAUGCAUUGCUGGCUCAUGGUCAGCUUGCUGUCCACCAAGAUCCCAAGGUCUUCUCUGCAGAACUGCUUUCCAGCCAGUUGGCCUCCAGCCUGUACAGGUGCAGAUACCAUCAGAUAUCCCCAGAUGCAGGACUUUGCAUUUCCCUGUGUUGCACUUGAUGAGAUUCCUCUCUGUCCAGCCUGUCGAGGUCCCUCUCCAUGGCAGCACAACCCUCUGGCUCAUCAGCCACUCCUUCCAGUUUUUUUAUCAUCUACAAACUUGCCGAGGGUGCACUCUGCCCCAUCAUCCAGGUCAUUAAUGAAGAUGUGGAACAGCACUGGCCCCAGUAUUGACCCCUGGGGUAUGCCACUAGUGACUGGCCUCCAACUGGACCUUGUACCACUGAUCACAACCCUCUGGGCCCAUCUAUUCAGUUUUUAAUCCACCUUACAGCCCACUUAUCUAAUCCACACCCUGUCAGCUUGUCUACAAGGAUGUUACGGUAGACCACAACCUUACUAAGAUCAAAGUAAACAACAUCCACCGCUCUCCCCAUGUCCACCAAGCUAGUCACCUCAUUACAAAAGGCAGUAAGGCUGCUCGAGCAUGGUUUCCCCUUUGUAAAUCCAUGCUGACUACUUGUGACCACCUUGUCCUUCAUGUGUUUGGAAAUGCUUUCGAGGAGGAUUUUCUUCAUCACCUUCUGAGGGACUGAGGUGAGGCUGACAAACCUGUAGUUCCCUGGAUCUUCCUUCCUGCCCAUAGAGAUGACAUCUGUUCAGAAUGGCACACUUUCCUUCUGUACCUUUCAGGAUAGAGAGAAUAGGGAAGGACUGGAAAAGAGUGAUAAAUUCGCUUUCCCUGUGCUACAAAAUGCUACUUGAAGUGUUCCCUGGAAAUGCUGUUCCUUUUUAAAAAUCAGGUAUUUUCCUCCCUGUUUCUUCUUGUCCCUGUCAAAGAAUGAGUAUC